rnacentral:rRNA from 1 species
UACGUAGGCAGCAAGCGUUGUUCGGAGUUACUGGGCGUAAAGAGUGCGUAGGUGGUGCCCUAAGUCUGUUGUGAAAUCUCCCGGCUUAACUGGGAGGGUGCGGUGGAAACUGGGGUGCUUGAGUGUGGGAGAGGUAAGCGGAAUUCCUGGUGUAGCGGUGAAAUGCGCAGAUAUCAGGAGGAACACCAAUGGCGAAGGCAGCUCGCUGGGACGGUACUGACGCUGAGGUGCGAAAGCGUGGGGAGCAAACAGG